rnacentral:lncRNA from 10 species
CUUGGUUUUAAUUCCUGUCACAGUAUAUUAGUUUUCGCUGUUGUGUAUUGAUUGAUUGAGACAGGGUCUCGCUCUGUUGCCCAGGCUGGAGUGCAGGGGCAUGAUCCCAGCUCACUGCAACCUCCACCUCUUGGAUUCAAGUGAUUCUCCCGUCUCAGCCUCCCGAGUAACAGGAACCACAGGUGUGUGCCAGCACGCCUGGCUAAUUUUUUUUUUUUUUUUCUUGAGGUGGAGUUUCACUGUUGUUGCCCAGGUUGGAGUGCAGUGGCACAAUCUCAGCUCACUGCAACCUCUGCCUCCUGGGUUCAAGUGAUUCUCCUGCUUCAGCCUCACGAGUUGUUGGGAUUACAGGCGCCCGCCACCACGCCCAGGUAAUUUUUGUUUAGUAGAGACGGGGUUUCACCAUGUUGGCCUGGCUGGUCUCGAACUCCUGACCUCAGGUGAUCCACCCACCUCGGCCUCCCAAAGUUGUGGGAUUGCAGGCGUGAGCCACUGCGCCUGGCCUAAUUUUUCAAUUUUUUGGUGGAGAUAGGGUUUCACCAUGUUGGCCAGGCUGGAGUUUUGCCUGUUCUAGAAGCUUGUAUCAGUCAUACAACACCAUCUCCCGUGUCCCUCACAGCAGUUCUAUGAGGCUGGCUGCCCUGUUUGACAACUGAGGCCCGCAUCUUCCCCGGAAUCACCGACGUGUGGCUCUGAGCCCUGUCCCAGGGAUUUUCUCCAUCAGAGAAGAGGAGCACUUUGAGCUUUGAGAGGAGCAGCCCUCUGCAAGUGAAGUGGAAAAAAAGGAAGCAGGCGAGGAGGCCCAUCCAGACCCUCCCCCAAGACCCUUGCUGAAAUGGCUGGGAUGCGGCGUGCAGAAGCUCUCCUUUCCUUCACAGCCCCUGGCUUUCCAAGAGUCCCUGCCCACCCAGAUGCCCGCUGGCAGAUGCAGCCUCAUCUCAAGGACACUGCUUGCUGGAUAAAUC